AUACAUACCUGGCAGGAGAAAUACCAUGAUCAUGAAGGUGGUUUCCCCAGGGCGAGGCUCAUCCAUUGCACUUCAGAUGUGCUGACGCCUGCGAUUCCUCAAACAUGGGAAACUCAACUGCAUAAUUUGUGGUAGUGGAAGACUGCAUUCACUAUCUCCCC